UGCUAACCAAUAGCUGUCCUUAGCUCCCCUCAGGACCGACAGUAGUCAUGGAAACGCGAACCAAUCAGAGAAGCCAGCAACAACAGGGGCAUGGAAGGAGCACUGAUGCACAGAGAUUGAUAGACUGGUAUUGCUGCCAACAGAUUAAUCCAAUGGCCGCUUGGUUCUAAGGCUGAAAAUUCACUUCAAGAGCAUCUCGUACCAGUGAAAAUCACAAGGAGUAACUGCUGUCAUCCGCGAUGUGUCAGCGGUUCUUCACGGACCCAUGGACUUCAUUCAAUAGGCGUGUUUGGUAAGCAUCACGGACCAAAGUGGUGCAUGUCUCCGUGGUUUUUCCACUGACUGUGGACUGAUGUGUAAAUAAACCCAUUAAAAUAUAUGGGUACAUGUGCUGUCCAUGGAGAACAAGGAUAACACACGUCAAUGAUUCACUGGCGUGUGUAAGAGGCCU